rnacentral:rRNA from 1 species
GACGAACGCUGGCGGCGUGCUUAACACAUGCAAGUCGAACGGAAAGGCCCUGCUUUUGUGGGGUGCUCGAGUGGCGAACGGGUGAGUAACACGUGAGUAACCUGCCCUUGACUUUGGGAUAACUUCAGGAAACUGGGGCUAAUACCGGAUAGGAGCUCCUGCUGCAUGGUGGGGGUUGGAAAGUUUCGGCGGUUGGGGAUGGACUCGCGGCUUAUCAGCUUGUUGGUGGGGUAGUGGCUUACCAAGGCUUUGACGGGUAGCCGGCCUGAGAGGGUGACCGGCCACAUUGGGACUGAGAUACGGCCCAGACUCCAACGGGAGGCAGCAGUGGGGAAUAUUGCACAAUGGGGGGAAGCCUGAUGCAGCAACGCCGCGUGCGGGAUGACGGCCUUCGGGUUGUAAACCGCUUUCGCCUGUGACGAAGCGUGAGUGACGGUAAUGGGUAAAGAAGCACCGGCUAACUACGUG